CCCCUGGCCUGAGCACACAGAGAGGCCUUGGACCCUAUGGAAGCACCACCUCCUGCAGGUGUCCUGUCUCCACGGCAACCGGAAUCAUCAUAGAUGGGAGGCUGUGACCCUGUGGGAUGGGAGGUGAGGAAAUAUCAGGAGCAAAGUCUUCAUUUAUGGCUCCUCGUUAUGGUGUGAAGGUGUCAGGCCAAGCCUCACAGCCAAAGGCCUGGAUUUCCAGAACAUUUUACAACCUGUUCUCAAUACCUGGGAUUGGAAUUACUGGGUAAUUUGCACUGGAUAACGCAAGACGGUGAGGAGGAGAAAGGAGGAGGAAGAGCAACAGUGGUCAUGACGUGACGGCAAUGACGCUGCCAUUUCAUGGGCGUGUAGAGGAACCGCGUUGUUUUUAAUUUGCAUUCCUGUAAUGAUUAAUGAUAGAGCAUCUUUGCUGGGUUUUUUUUGCCGUCCAUUAAUCUUUUGACAAUUACUUUUUCCUGGAAUAUUUCAUGGGAAAUGCUUCCUUUAUCCCUCUGUUUUAAAGAUGCAGAGGAGUUUCAGGGCCAAAGAGGUUAUGUGACUUGCCUGGGUUUUCUCAGUUAAUAGCACUGUUGAGAUGGGAGCUCACCCUUGGCUGCAG